rnacentral:rRNA from 1 species
AUUGAACGCUGGCGGCAUGCCUUACACAUGCAAGUCGAACGGCAGCACGGGAGCAAUCCUGGUGGCGAGUGGCGAACGGGUGAGUAAUAUAUCGGAACGUGCCCAGUCGUGGGGAUAACGUAGCGAAAGCUACGCUAAUACCGCAUACGAUCUAUGGAUGAAAGCGGGGGAUCGCAAGACCUCGCGCGAUUGGAGCGGCCGAUAUCAGAUUAGGUAGUUGGUGAGGUAAAGGCUCACCAAGCCGACGAUCUGUAGCUGGUCUGAGAGGACGACCAGCCACACUGGGACUGAGACACGGCCCAGACUCCUACGGGAGGCAGCAGUGGGGAAUUUUGGACAAUGGACGCAAGUCUGAUCCAGCCAUUCCGCGUGCAGGAUGAAGGCCCUCGGGUUGUAAACUGCUUUUGUACGGAACGAAACGGUGAGCUCUAAUACAGUUUGCUAAUGACGGUACCGUAAGAAUAAGCACCGGCUAACU